rnacentral:rRNA from 1 species
GAUCAUGGCUCAGGAUGAACGCUGGCGGCGUGCCUAACACAUGCAGGUCGAACGAAGCACCUUUUGAGAUUCUUCGGAUGAUCGAUCGGUGACUGAGUGGCGGACGGGUGAGUAACGCGUGGGUAACCUGCCCUGUACAGGGGGAUAACAGCUGGAAACGGCUGCUAAUACCGCAUAAGCGCACGAGGAGACAUCUCCUUGUGUGAAAAACUACCGGUGGUACAGGAUGGGCCCGGCCG